rnacentral:rRNA from 1 species
CAAGUCGAACGGUAACGACAAAAACAAUCCCUUCGGGGUGCGAUUUUGGGUGACGAGUGGCGGACGGGUGAGUAAUGCUUAGGAAUCUGCCCAGUAGCGGGGGAUAGCUCGGAGAAAUCCGAAUUAAUACCGCAUACGCCCUACGGGGGAAAGCAGGGGAUUUUCGGACCUUGCACUAUUGGAUGAGCCUAAGUCAGAUUAGCUUGUUGGUGGGGUAAAAGCCUACCAAGGCGACGAUCUGUAGCUGGUCUGAGAGGACGAUCAGCCACACUGGGACUGAGACACGGCCCAGACUCCUACGGGAGGCAGCAGUGGGGAAUAUUGGACAAUGGGGGCAACCCUGAUCCAGCAAUGCCGCGUGUGUGAAGAAGGCCUGCGGGUUGUAAAGCACUUUCAGUAAGGAAGAAAUCCUCAGGGUUAAUACCCCUGUGGCUUGACAUUACUUACAGAAGAAGCACCGGCUAACUCCGUGCCAGCAGCCGCGGUAAUACGGAGGGUGCGAGCGUUAAUCGGAAUUACUGGGCGUAAAGCGCGCGUAGGUGGCUUGGUCAGUCGGAUGUGAAAGCCCCGGGCUUAACCUGGGAAUUGCAUUCGAUACUGCCUGGCUAGAGUAUGAUAGAGGAAAGUGGAAUUCCCGGUGUAGCGGUGAAAUGCGUAGAUAUCGGGAGGAACAUCAGUGGCGAAGGCGACUUUCUGGAUCAAUACUGACACUGAGGUGCGAAAGCGUGGGUAGCAAACAGGAUUAGAUACCCUGGUAGUCCACGCCCUAAACUAUGUCAACUAGCCGUUGGGUUCAUUUAAGGACUUAGUGGCGCAGCUAACGCGUUAAGUUG